rnacentral:lncRNA from 1 species
GAGAGAGAGAGAGAGAGAGAGAGAGAGAGAGAGAGAGAGAGAGAGAGAGAGAGAGAGAGAGAGAGAGAGAGAGAGAGAGAGAGAGAGAUUUAAAUACAGUGUCUGCAGCUCUGGCACCUUCCCCAGCACGUUUCUCUUCCGGCUCGUCUCUGUCUGGUGGAGAAUUUAGCCCGCGUUGAGGUGAGGUUAACUUUAACGCCAGGUGGGCUGAACAGGGCUUGUGCACUAAUGCAGAUUUGUUCCAGAACGCGCCGUCUUCCCCCGCCAAUUCCCCGCUGGGAUGUCCCAGCCGAGCUGGACCCGGGACUGUAGGGAAGACCCUAUGGGAAUUGCUCCAGUCUCACACCUCGGAAGUCAUCCGGACCUCAAGACCCGAUGGCCUCUGGGAGUUCUCUGGGGACAUCCUGGGGAGUGUCCGAUUGGAAACUUGUUUCAGUUCUUAAAAAUAGAAACAAAGCCCGGCAGAGUGGCGCACGCCUUUAAACCCGGCGCUCCGGAGGCCAAGGCAGGUAGAUCUCUGAUUUAGAGGCCAGCCUGGCCCACAGAGUUCCAGGACAGCCAGGGCUACACAGAGAACCCCCACCCCGAGGAGGGUGGUCACGGACCGGGAUGAAAACUCGGGGACAGAGACAGACAUCGACGGGACAGAAACAAAUCCAAACCUCAGUAGCCUGAGGGAGAUGUCUCAGUCACUAUUCUCCCACAGGAAGCUGCUGUACGUCGGAGCCUCCUGGGAUUGGCAGAGUUAAAAAUCCUUCAACCCAGGAUGCCAUGCCUGGGCCUUUUGUUCAACCCUGACAAUGGAAUUAGGAAUUGGGUGGAGGGGGCUAGGAAGGCAAGUAGCUGCGGUGGGGAUGCAUCCUUAGGGUGGGGAUCUGGAGAAGCCUGUGUUGAGUCACCGGGUGAAUAAAAAGGAUGCAGCCCCGCGUGUGAGCCGUGUGUGCUGCGUGCUGCUGCUGAGGGCUGGACCGCUGGACUACCAGUCUAACCCGUGUGUAAGAGUGCCUGCUGUGUGUGCUUGCAGCAAAUCUCAGGUCUUAGGGAGACCUUCGGAAACAGGACCUCAGUGUUUGUCCCUAAAAGGUUGGGUAAUGGGCUUUCCUUACUUCUGAAAUCCUAGGGGACAAAUCCCUGGUUUCAGACUCUUCUGAAUGUCUUUGUCUUCUGAAAUCCUGGGCUCCCGCGAGAGAGCACUUAGUUAAGGACGUCGAGACGGAUAUCCUACCACCUAUCAAUCAUCCUGAAACUCUUGCUAGGAAUUCCCUGCUCCGUUAUGCGACCUCCUCAGCAGCACUGCGAACAGACCUGGAGGGAUGCUAGCAUUUAUUUUAUCUUCCAUUUAACCCGCCCACGCUCCUGGCCACAGCCUGCCCCUGGGAUGCAGGGAACUCUCUGGCUUCCCUCUCCAGUCCUGAGACAUUCAGCCCAUCUUCACGGUUGGGUUUGGUGUUCCUUCUCCAGUCAGUUCGAGCACCAAUGAGUGUUUCGGUCAAAUCCACUGUGCCCAGAAUGCACCAGACCCUGGGAUUGAGCCAGGCAAACACUUGCCCUUAAGCGCUGUUUGUAAGUGUAUUUGUUGCAAUGGUAGUGAUGGUGCUCAGAGCCUCACACAUGCUAGCAAGGCACUCCACUGGUGGGCUACAGCCCAAGCCCAGGAUUUUAAAAAGUAUGUUUGUGGAUUCGGAUAUAUAUUUAAAUGUGUGGGCGUGCGGUGUACAUGUCUGAGGAGGCCAGGUGUCAAUAUUGGUGUCUUUCUUGAUCACUCUCCACUUGAGAAGGUCCCUGAGAUGAUCAGUGUGGAUUGUCAACUUGACAGGAUUUGGAAUCACCUAGGAGGCCUAGCUCCAGGCACUUGGGAGGGAUUUAUAUUAGGUUAGCCUCUGAACAAACCUGUGAGAGAUUAUCUUGAUUGAGUUCAUUGACAUGGAGGAUUUUGUAGUUCCCUGGGUUUGGGUCCUGGGCUGCAUAUAAUGAAGGAAGCUAGCUAAUACUGAAUAUCCAUUCCUCUCCUUUUGCUGACUGUGGAUGGACGAAAUGUGACCAGCUCCUUCAAGUUCUGGUUGCCCUAGCUCUCCUACCAUGAUGAAACUGGACAUUAAUAUGCUACUUUUGUCAGGUAUUAUGUUACCUGUCAUCACACCCAGAGUCUGCCACCCACUGGGGUUACAGAUGUGCUGUGGCAGUUUCACAUUUGUGCUGGGGAUCCAAAUUCUGGUCCUCACUCUUGCAUGACAGGCACUUUCCCAAGUGAGCCAUCUCCCCUACCACAGUAGUCUCCAUUAAUUGAAAGAGCAGUGUGGACACAAAGUCAAACUGUUUCGUAUGUGGGUGAGGACUAUAAAGAAAUUAAAGCAGGCUGUAUAUAGUGACACAUGCCCAUAAUGCCAGAGCUUGAAGUUUGAAGUAGGAGGCUUGAGAGUUUGAGUACAGCCUGGGCUACACAGUAAAACCCUGGAGAAGGGGACAGAGCAGGGAAGGUGGAAAGGCUAAGGGGAAAGGACUAAUGCACACUGAGGUACAGAGCUGCUUCACGAGAUGCCUCCUCCAUAGGUGUUCUUAGGACCUGAAGACCUGUGGACAAAUGCUCCAAAAGAAGGAACUGACUAGGACACACAUCUGUCUGGAGGCAGAACUUAGCAGAAUAGAGAAAGCAGCCACUCUGAGGGGGGCCUUGCAUGCUUUUAGAUUGUGGGACACUGUCUGAGUGUGGUGGCAGACACCUGUAGUCCCAGCACUUGGUCCGGGUCAGGGGUCCCCGUCCCUGCACACCCCCCCCCCAUACUCCCUCAUUUCUCAAGAGACAAGGCAGUACUCACAGAUAACAAGAACAAGAGGGUGGUAGGCGGUGCCUAGUGACACACAUUCUGAAGAGCAGAAGUUAUUUUAUUUAAAAGUUUUAAAUUUAAUUUUGUGCCACGCAGUGGUAGUAAACACCUUUAAUCCCAGCCCUUGGGAGGGAGAGGCAAGUGAAUCAGUGAGUUUGAGGUCAUCCUGGUCUACAGAGUUCCAGAACAGUCAGGACUACAUAGAGAAACCCUACUUUGGAAAAACAAAAUAAUAGCAACAACAAAAUUAAAUUUUGUUGAUUUAUUUUUUUUUUUGAGGUCAGUCAUGUUAUGUUGUCCAAGGCUAGUAUUAAUUACAGGCAUGAGUUCUAUGACAUUCAGUUUCAGUUUUAAAAAUGAGCUUAUUGUAUUAGGGCCUUCUUAGGUAGUAGACAAUAUAAAGAUUUAUCCCAAUCCCCUGGUUCUGCAAUCCUGGGCUGAGGAGCCACAGGGCUAGAAUUGGGGUCUUGGGACUGCCAGAGAGUGCUAGAGGUAGGGGGCCCUCAUUCCCUGCUUGUCACCUCACCCAGUUCUAGGCAGCAUCCGAGCGCUCUGGGUGCAAUCCUCCUUGCUCCACUGUUUUCGUGCCCACAGACCGGGGACAGGCCUAGAAACUAAGCAUCAGUUUCCUCAACUGUAUUUGAGGCUAGGACCUGUCAGACCACUCAUCAGUCGGAUGACUCAAGGAUGAAGGGUGUGUGUGACUCCCUCCUUGGGUACCAAGCAUCUAAGUAGGCCCUUCAUCCUCAUAGUGCUCAAGUCAGUCAGUCCUGGGGUCUGGGCAGCCCUGGGAUAAGGAGGCUGAAUGUAGAGAUUGACCUUGAACAAUGGAAGGCAGAGUUUGAAUGACCUGCUUUGUUCUCCCAAACACUCACUGAGAUGAGAACUGUCAGACAUACCCCUAUAUCCCCCCCCCCGCCCUCCCCCACACAACCUCUUUUCCUCCCUAACCAGUUACAGCUGCACACUGGUGACAGUUACUUUCCUUAGGCUCCAGAUACCUGUGUAUUUAUCUGCACGUAGGCCAUGACACUCCAGAAAAGCAGAGCUCUGGGUCACACCUUAUAAUCUCAAGCAGAGAAGGGCACCUUCAUGUGCAGCCUUCUACUCCAGGUGAUGGCACAGCACAGAUCACCUUUGGUGAUAAAUACACAUUGGGGGUCCCUAAGUUCUUUGCUUCUGUGUUCAUGUCCUAAACUGGUUCCUGUAAACUAUAGCCGGUGACUCAGACUCUUUUGCAGCUAUGGAUAACAACAGUGUUGCCAAAACAAGCUUCAAGCUCUUUCCUGACCCUUGGACUCUAGGUCCUGGUGGCCCUGCAGUGGGCUGGGGAACUGCAGAAUCAGGAAGCACCUGAGGAAUCCAGGAAGGCAGAGCUUGAGGCCUAGGGGAAAGAAGAAAGGAAGGGAGUGAGGGAGGGAUGAAGGAAGGAAGGAAAGAAGGAAGGAGGAAAGAAAAGAAGGAAGGAAGUCCCUAGGCAAGCUUGAGGCCUGGCAUGCUGCAGGACAGCUGAGUUCUUUUGGUUCCAAAUCUUCACAGCCUUGCCAAGCCCUGUGGGGAAAGAUCAGCUGCAAAGUUCUAUGAAGGCAAGACCAGGUGCUUAGCUGGUCCCAGUCUGAUUUGGAAGCAGUUAGGAGCCAGGGCUGUUUAGGGUUGGCAAUCUGCUCUUUGCUAUGCCUAGGAGACAGCUAGCAUACUCUUGGAAGCCAGUGCCACCCUUGACCCUAGGCUGUGCUGGAGUGAAGGCAGGACACAGGGCAGAGGAGGAACUCAGAGGCAUCGCCCUUCCACGCUCCAGGACAGCCUCACAAAGGGCCUCCUCUGCUGGCUCUGCAAGACAGGCUGUGCUGGCAGAGAGGCCUGAGACUGUCACCCAAGCAGGGAUAGGGCAGCUACAAAUGAAACACAGACAAGCACACAGGCCGGCAUUCGAUCUUACCCAGAGCCAAGAAAUCCUGGCUAAAGCUCGGCUACAGAGUGAGGAAAAGCACCGGGCAAUACUUGAAACCAAGCAAGCCCCCUGGAAAUGUUGGACUCCUGACAGACAAGGAGCCAAGCCAAGGGUUUUUUCCUGCUGGCUGGAACACAAAAGCCGAGGAUGCUGGGGAGAUGGGAGAUUGGCCUGAGAGGGACUCUGGAAGUAGAGGAAAGCUCUCAAAGCCAGAAAAUGUUCGCCCAACGCAGACCCCAGAGCUUGCAUACCACAGGUGUGGAGGAGGGGACACUAUCCUGGCAGAGGCCCCAGUGAGGGGGCUGUGGCAGUGUGGUGUCUCCAACAGUCCAGAGGCCUGGCUGCAAAGCCCAGCUCCCAUCUGAGGUAAGGCAGUGUGUGAAGAAGUGGUUGAAGAUACCUAUCCCAUGCUGUGGCGGGACCGACCCCCUAAAGCAAGCUUGUCGUUACACCUCGAGUGUGGCUCUCUUCACUUUUUGUUAGCUCUUAUUUAGUGUUUUGAUGCCAGGGAUUGUACCCAUGGCCUCACAUAUGCUAAGCACACGUUCUCCAUGAAGCUUCUUUACUCUUGGUGCCUGGCUGCUUCAUCCCAAAUGAACUUGCACAUCAGUGCAUUGUGGGUAAAAUUUAUGACCACACAAAGGAGUGUUCUUUUAUUCAUAAUAUCUGUUACCUGUGGAAUGAGGUUACUUUUUUUGAAGUUCUAAAAUUAAGCUGGACAUGAUGGCUUCUGUCUGUAAUCCUACCCACUUGGGAGGUAGAAGCAGGAGUAUCAGGAGCUCAAGGAUAGCCUGGGCUGUCUCAAAAAAAAGUUCUAAAAUUAAUAAAAGAAAUCCUACCUGAGGAUGGAGUCGGUGUCACAAUCUUCUUUACUCUUUGCCAGUUCUUGAAGAAAAAGACAAAAAAGAAUUAUGCAAUAAUAUGACAGCUUUUUAAAAAUAAUAGAAAGGAAAGAAAAAUCUUUCCGAAUAUAAGAGUAGAGCACUCUCUAUAAAAAGGAAUUUGGGCAAAAAAUAGAAAUAAGGGGGUCAAAGGUCACCCAUCACCUCUCUGCAGGCAGUGACAUCAUUUGAAGCUAUUUCCUAUACAUACAGAGAAAUGUUCUUACAUGAGGUGGAGUUGUUAAAAUAAGGGACUAGAGACAGCUCAGGAGAGCCGUGCUUGUCACACGUGUAUAAUACUGGGGAAAGGUUUUAUCAUGGUCUCUCUUCUGGCUGCUUCUCCUGAAGGUAACCCUGAAGUUGCCUGGUUGGUGCCUGGUUGGUCACCAUACAUCCUAGAGAGGGAAGAGUCUCUAGGUGAGACAUUGGUGUCAACUGGACAGCAUCAAGAAUCUCCUGGGAGCUGGGUCUUCGGGUAGCAGUGUGAGGGAGUCUCUUGAUUAGAUAAUGGGAAGCCUGUGUCUGAGAAGUCUGCACCCUCUCCUCUCUGCACCUAAGAUUCUGGGAAAUGGGCCUUAUUCUCAGUAUCUGGGUUUUCCUGGUUGUUACCGGGGCAGAGCUCCCCAGAAACAGGUGGCCACAGAGUGGCUGAGAAAGAGGAAGCAACAAGACCCAUACAGCCCAAAGAAGCUACUCAUCCAGAAGAGUGGAAACCCUGUCAGAGCCAGCAGGCGCCCUGGGAGACAUGGGCUGUCUCCCAGGUGGGGGGAAUCGACCCACCAUCUUCUUUCUGUGGCUGGAAGCCAGUGCAACCCAUCCCCCCUUGUAAGAAGUUUGAUAUAAAACACAGAUUGUCUGCACACUUCUGAUCACUUUAUUUGUUUCAUUUUGCUGUCUUUGUCUUUUUGUUGUUGUUGUUGUUUCUUCAUUUCUCUUCUGGUUUUGCCACUUAAGAUAGUCAGCAUCUGCCUCCCCAUACCCACGGAGUGACCACCCUUCCAUUUCCCACCUUCCACAGAAGUGAUGCUGUCCUGAGGCUGGAUGUUUUAAGGCCUCUGCAAAGGCCCAUAGAUCAUGAAGGAAACAAAUCCAGCCCAUUUGCUUUUGGUUUCUUGUUGCUGUUGCACCUUGUUUUUCAAAAGUCUUUCACAAGCAUUGGAAGAAGAAUGCCCUUUAUGUUAAACAUUAAAACUUCCAAGUUCCAAAGAAAACUCAACAGUUCCAUGUACUGCCCACAGGAUGAAUGAAAAAACACAUGAUGAACAGGUAAAUUCUGGACUUCUUGGGAAAAACCAUGCCAGGCUGGGCGAGGUGGUGCACUGAGAGGCAGAGACAGGCAGAUCUCUGUGAGUUCCAAGCCAGCCCGGUCUGCAUAGUGAGUUCCAGGCUACCUAGUGAGACCAUGG